AUAACAUCCGGAAACGGGUGCUAAUACCGCAUAGUUUUCUUGAUCGCAUGAUCGGGAAAGGAAAGACGGCCUUUGUGCUGUCGCUUAUGGAUGGACCCGCGGCGUAUUAGUUAGUUGGUGAGGUAACGGCUCACCAAGACGAUGAUACGUAGCCGACCUGAGAGGGUGAUCGGCCACAUUGGGACUGAGACACGGCCCAAACUCCUACGGGAGGCAGCAGUAGGGAAUCUUCCGCAAUGGACGAAAGUCUGACGGAGCAACGCCGCGUGAGUGAAGAAGGUUUUCGGAAUCGUAAAACUCUGUUGUCAGAGAAGAACAAGUUGGAGAGUAACUGCUCCAGCCUUGACGGUAUCUGACCAGAAAGCCACGGCUAACUACGUGCCAGCAGCUGC
rnacentral:rRNA from 1 species